GAGCAGGAGGCCCUGAACUCUUCCAGACCGGAGUGGUCAGUCGGAGCAGGAGGAGCUGGCCCAUUGGCGAGAUGGAAGUGGGCCCUGGGACUUGAAAGGCAGAGAACCCAAGAGGAGGUGGCCUUGCAGCCUGCACCAUGGGAAAGGGGACCAAGGGCGACUGAAAGAACUUCUCUGGCCAGCCUGUCACCUGCUCCGGGAGAGGGUUGUGGUGAGGUGCACAUGAAGUAAUGACGAGCUUGGCACAUGACAGAUGCUCCAUGAAUUUUACUUCCUUUGCUGCCUUCUCACCAUCCCAGCGGCCCAGGCAGAGGUGAGCAGCUAGGAAAGGUGGGGGUAGUGGACAGAGGUGACAAAUGGGCAGACCGGGCUCCUCAGGGGAAGGUACACAGAGAGGGCAGGUACCAAGUGUCAUUCGUGAGGCCACUCCCAAUUUAUGGGAUGUGGUGCAAAGACUUUGAAGAGGCAAUAAAAUUCAUA